rnacentral:lncRNA from 1 species
CCCUGGGACAGCCCCCUUCCCCCGGGAAAAGAAAAACUUUCGACAAGGAGAACCUUCCAUAUUUCUGAAUAUGGAAGAGUUUAACCUAAUCCAACCGACUAACACUCGCCUUAAGAAGACUAUAUAAAGGGAACCUAAACCCUAGAGGAAGGGAUCGACACUUCAAGCGUUAAGACUAGGACUAGACGGCUAGAAUUAGGGUUCUUACUCAAAUCAUUGUAAUCCUAGUUUGUCUACUCAAUAAAACGUAUCUUCAAGUCUUUACCUCUAUUGUAUCUCUCAAAAUCAAUACAAAUACCAUCCUUGUCCAACGUUCCGUGGUACUCACAAAGAUCCUACACAAAAAUCCCAUAACACGAAUAAUCUCCUCAUAUGAC